rnacentral:rRNA from 1 species
CGGGUGAGUAACACGUGGGUAACCUGCCCGGAAGUGGGGAAUACCUCGGGGAAACUCGAGCUAAUGCCGCAUAAAAUCUCCGGGACGAAAGUCCUGGUGAUCAAAGCGGGGUCGCAAGAUCUCGCGCUACCGGAUGGGCCCGCGCCCGAUUAGCUAGUUGGUGAGGUAAUGGCUCACCAAGGCAACGAUCGGUAGCCGGCCUGAGAGGGUGAUCGGCCACACCGGAACUGAGACACGGUCCGG